rnacentral:rRNA from 1 species
AAACCAACUGGGAUUACCUUAGUAACUGCGAGUGAAGCGGUAAAAGCUCAAAUUUGAAAUCUGGUACUUUCAGUGCCCGAGUUGUAAUUUGUAGAAUUUGUCUUUGAUUAGGUCCUUGUCUAUGUUCCUUGGAACAGGACGUCAUAGAGGGUGAGAAUCCCGUUUGGCGAGGAUACCUUUUCUCUGUAAGACUUUUUCGAAGAGUCGAGUUGUUUGGGAAUGCAGCUCAAAGUGGGUGGUAAAUUCCAUCUAAAGCUAAAUAUUGGCGAGAGACCGAUAGCGAACAAGUACAGUGAUGGAAAGAUGAAAAGAACUUUAAAAGAGAGUGAAAAAGUACGUGAAAUUGUUGAAAGGGAAGGGCAUUUGAUCAGACAUGGUGUUUUUGCAUGCACUCGCCUCUCGUGGGCUUGGGCCUCUCAAAAAUUUCACUGGGCCAACAUCAAUUCUGGCAGCAGGAUAAAUCAUUAAGAAUGUAGCUACUUCGGUAGUGUUAUAGCUUUUUGGAAUACUGUUAGCCGGGAUUG